AGAUUGAACGCUGGCGGCAGGCCUAACACAUGCAAGUCGAGCGGCAGCACGGGUACUUGUACCUGGUGGCGAGCGGCGGACGGGUGAGUAAUGCCUAGGAAUCUGCCUGGUAGUGGGGGAUAACGCUCGGAAACGGACGCUAAUACCGCAUACGUCCUACGGGAGAAAGCAGGGGACCUUCGGGCCUUGCGCUAUCAGAUGAGCCUAGGUCGGAUUAGCUAGUUGGUGAGGUAAUGGCUCACCGAAGGCGACGAUCCGUAACUGGUCUGAGAGGAUGAUCAGUCACACGUGGAACUGAGACGACGGUCCAGACCUCCGUACGGGAGCAGCAGGUAGGGAAUGUGGAACUAAGUGGGAC
rnacentral:rRNA from 1 species